rnacentral:rRNA from 1 species
AUUGAACGCUGGCGGCAGGCCUAACACAUGCAAGUCGAGCGAGCGGCGGACGGGUGAGUAAUGUAUGGGGACUGCCCGAUAGAGGGGGAUAACUACUGGAAACGGUGGCUCAUACCGCAUACUCUCGGAUAACCCAUAUGGGAUUAGCUCGUAGGUGGGGUAAAGGCUCCCCUAGGCGACGGGCUCUAGCGGGUCUGAGAGGAUGAUCAGCAGAACUGGGACGGAGACACGGCCAAGACUCACACGGAGGCAGCAGUGGGGAAUAUUGCACAAUGGGCGCAAGUCUGAUGCAGCCAUGCCGCGUGUAUGAAGAAGGCCUUAGGGUUGUAAAGUACGUUCAGCGGGGAGGCGUUACCCGCAGAAGAAGCACCGGCUAACUCCGUGCCAGCAGCCGCGGUAAUAC